GUGGCAGUGCACUGCCGAAUGGUUACGCUGUCCGCUUUGUAAGUGGAUGAUCAUGGGUUCGAUUCCCAUCUGCUCCA
rnacentral:tRNA from 1 species